CCCACUAAGCUUCAGCUUAAGAAAAACCGUACCGUAAACCGACACUGGUAGGCAGGGUGAGAAUCCCAAGGCGCUUGAGAGAACUCGGGUGAAGGAACUAGGCAAAAUGGCACCGUAACUUCGGGAGAAGGUGCGCCCUUUGACGUGGUCACAUGCGUGACUGAGCGUUGAAGGGUCGCAGUAACCUGGCCGCUGCGACUGUUUAUCAAAAACACAGCACUCUGCAAACACGAAAGUGGACGUAUAGGGUGUGACGCCUGCCCGGUGCUGGAAGGUUAAUUGAUGGGGUCAGCCGCAAGGCGAAGCUCUUGAUCGAAGCCCCAGUAAACGGCGGCCGUAACAAUAACGGUCCUAAGGUAGCGAAAUUCCUUGUCGGGUAAGUUCCGACCUGCACGAAUGGCGUAACGACAGCGGCGCUGUCUCCACCCGAGACUCAGUGAAAUUGAAUUCGCUGUGAAGAUGCAGCGUUCCCGCGGCAAGACGGAAAGACCCCGUGAACCUUUACUAUAGCUUUACACUGAACGUUGAGUUCUUCUGUGUAGGAUAGGUGGGAGGCUUUGAAGCGCAGACGCCAGUUUGCGUGGAGCCAACCUUGAAAUACCACCCUGAAGUGCUUGACGUUCUAACCUCGGCCCGUAAUCCGGGUCAGGGACCGUGUAUGGUGGGUAGUUUGACUGGGGCGGUCUCCUCCCAAAGAGUAACGGAGGAGCACGAAGGUACGCUCAGCGCGGUCGGACAUCGCGCACUGUGUGCAAUGGCAUAAGCGUGCUUGACUGCGAGAUCGACGGAUCAAGCAGGUACGAAAGUAGGUCAUAGUGAUCCGGUGGUUCUGUAUGGAAGGGCCAUCGCUCAACGGAUAAAAGGUACUCCGGGGAUAACAGGCUGAUACCGCCCAAGAGUUGAUAUCGACGGCGGUGUUUGGCACCUCGAUGUCGGCUCAUCACAUCCUGGGGCUGUAGCCGGUCCCAAGGGUAUGGCUGUUCGCCAUUUAAAGUGGUACGCGAGCUGGGUUCAGAACGUCGUGAGACAGUUCGGUCCCUAUCUGUCGUGGGCGUUGGAGAUUUGAGGGGGGCUGCUCCUAGUACGAGAGGACCGGAGUGGACGUUCCGCUGGUGUUCGGGUUGUCAUGCCCAUGGCAUUGCCCGGUAGCUAUGAACGGAAGUGAUAACCGCUGAAAGCAUCUAAGCGGGAAGCACGCCCCAAGAUGAGAUCUCCCGAGAGCUUGACUCUCCUAAAGGCACCAUCAAGACCAGGUGGUUGUUAGGUCAGGUGUGGAAGCGCAGCGAUGCGUUGAGCUAACUGAUACUAAUGAGCCGUGCGGCUUGACC
rnacentral:rRNA from 1 species